rnacentral:rRNA from 2 species
CAAGGUUGAAACUCAAAGGAAUUGACGGGGGCCCGCACAAGCGGUGGAGCAUGUGGUUAAUUCGAAGCUACGCGAAGAACCUUACCAGGUCUUGACAUCUUCUGCCAAUCUUAGAGAUAAGACGUUCCCUUCGGGGACAGAAUGACAGGUGGUGCAUGGUUGUCGUCAGCUCGUGUCGUGAGAUGUUGGGUUAAGUCCCGCAACGAGCGCAACCCUUAUUAUCAGUUGCCAGCAUUCAGUUGGGCACUCUGGUGAGACUGCCGGUGACAAACCGGAGGAAGGUGGGGAUGACGUCAAAUCAUCAUGCCCCUUAUGACCUGGGCUACACACGUGCUACAAUGGACGGUACAACGAGUCGCGAAGUCGUGAGGCUAAGCUAAUCUCUUAAAGCCGUUCUCAGUUCGGAUUGUAGGCUGCAACUCGCCUACAUGAAGUUGGAAUCGCUAGUAAUCGCGGAUCAGCAUGCCGCGGUGAAUACGUUCCCGGGCCUUGUACACACCGCCCGUCACACCAUGAGAGUUUGUAACACCCAAAGCCGGUGAGAUAACCU